rnacentral:rRNA from 1 species
CACGUAGGCACCAAGCGUUGUCCGGAUUUAUUGGGCCUAAAGCAUCCGUAGCCGGUUCUACAAGUCUUCCGUUAAAUCCACCUGCUUAACAGAUGGGCUGCGGAGGAUACUAUGGAGCUAGGAGGCGGGAGAGGCAAGCGGUACUUAGUGGGUAGGGGUAAAAUCCGUUGAUCCAUUGAAGACCACCAGUGGCGAAGGCGGCUUGCCAGAACGCACUCGACGGUGAGGGAUGAAAGCUGGGGGAGCAAACCGG